rnacentral:rRNA from 1 species
UACAGAGGUGGCAAGCGUUGUUCGGAAUUACUGGGCGUAAAGGGCGCGUAGGCGGCCUUCUAAGUCAGACGUGAAAUCCCCCGGCUUAACCGGGGAACUGCGUCUGAUACUGGAUGGCUGGAGUUUGGGAGAGGGAUGCGGAAUUCCAGGUGUAGCGGUGAAAUGCGUAGAUAUCUGGAGGAACACCGGUGGCGAAGGCGGCAUCCUGGACCAAUACUGACGCUGAGGAGCGAAAGCCAGGGGAGCAAACGGG